ACUGUCUGGCACUCCCUAGUGAGAUGAACCCGGUACCUCAGAUGGAAAUGCAGAAAUCACCUGUCUUCCACGUCGCUCACGCUGGGAGCUGUAGACCGGAGCUGUUCCUAUUCGGCCAUCUUGGCUCCUCCCUUAAAGUCUUAAUUUUAAAGACUUUCUGUCUUCAAAGCAUAGAGGUGAUACCAGGCAAACAGGCAGCCCAAAGCUGGACUCAGAGGUAAGCAUCAGUGUGCCGAGGGUGGUGCAUCAUCAAGCCACAAGACCUACCCUUGGGAAAGGCCCAUGCCAGAAAAUAGAUCAAGGGUUUAUCAUCUGCAGACUUGGCAAGUGGGGAUGCAUGAUUUCAAACUGGUACAAGAGACCAGAAAGAUGGUCUCUAUGGAUUGUAGAGCUAUCUGAAUACGUAAGCUACCCCUGUACUCAGACACCAUCUUGUAAAGAAGGGAAAGUUUAAUAUUUGUUGAAAGGCUAUGGAAUGAAGGAAAAAAAAUUAAAUUACAAAAACAUUUAUAGUGGCA
rnacentral:lncRNA from 10 species